GUUUGAUCCUGGCUCAGGACGAACGCUGGCGGCGUGCUUAACACAUGCAAGUCGAGCGGUGAUCCUCCUUCGGGAGGUGAUCAGCGGCGAACGGGUGAGUAACACGUGGGCAACCUGCCCCUCACACUGGGAUAACCUCGGGAAACCGGGGCUAAUACCGGAUACGACCUCGAGCGGCAUCUCUUGAGGUGGAAAGCUCCGACGGUGAGGGAUGGGCCCGCGGCCUAUCAGCUUGUUGGUGGGGUAAUGGCCUACCAAGGCGACGACGGGUAGCCGGCCUGAGAGGGCGACCGGCCACACUGGGACUGAGACACGGCCCAGACUCCUACGGGAGGCAGCAGUGGGGAAUAUUGCGCAAUGGGCGAAAGCCUGACGCAGCGACGCCGCGUGAGGGAUGAAGGCCUUCGGGUUGUAAACCUCUUUCAGCAGGGACGAAGCGAAAGUGACGGUACCUGCAGAAGAAGCACCGGCUAACUACGUGCCAGCAGCCGCGGUAAUACGUAGGGUGCAAGCGUUGUCCGGAUUUAUUGGGCGUAAAGAGCUCGUAGGCGGUUUGUCGCGUCGGAUGUGAAAACCCAGGGCUCAACCCUGGGCCUGCAUUCGAUACGGGCAGACUAGAGUAUGGCAGGGGAGACUGGAAUUCCUGGUGUAGCGGUGAAAUGCGCAGAUAUCAGGAGGAACACCGGUGGCGAAGGCGGGUCUCUGGGCCAAAACUGACGCUGAGGAGCGAAAGCGUGGGGAGCGAACAGGAUUAGAUACCCUGGUAGUCCACGCCGUANACGUUGGGCGCUAGGUGUAGGGGACCUUCCACGUCCUCUGUGCCGCAGCUAACGCAUUAAGCGCCCCC
rnacentral:rRNA from 1 species